UCAGGGUUUAGAUGAGUCUUUUUAGCUCAGAGGGCAGAGGUCACUAGAUGAUUGGCUUUCCCUUACUGGGAGAAAGUGUUUUCUGACCACCAGAGCUUCCUGGCAGGAGGAUUUGUGGCUCCUUCCAGCCUCUGGGCUUUUGCGCCUAUUGCUGCCCUGUGCGAGUGCUGUCCUAGUGUCUCCCUGGGUUCAAAUCUUCCUUCCCAUAAGCACCCCAGAAUGGAGACAGGCUCUGCUGGCCCCCUCAGGGUGGGCUCCGUUCAUCAUCCCAUCUUGGACAUUUACUGAGCCUUUCUGGCUCUGGGUAGUAGCACGGGAGAGUUGGGAGUCCCCUCUUUAGGGUGGACGUCUAGGUCUGGCUAUAGUAUCCCCGGUGUGGUUUGACCUGGCCUGAGCAAGGAGCAUGGCUUCCACCUACCUGCCGUGAUCAAGGAGCUCUUUAUGCAGCUGGAGAGCCCUCCCUUGGCGGGCAGAGCCCAGAGCUCCCCAUCGACUGCCCACUGGGCAAGUGCUCAGAACCCACCUCAUUACUAAGGACAGAAUUCUGGGCACUGGAUCCAGAAGGCUGUGGUUAUAAUCAGCUAAUUAAACCACCCAAGUAUUGCUCCUUGGCCCAGAGGAGUGGAGGGAAGGCGGAGGCUGGGAGAAGUGCGAGGGGAAGAUGAGAGCUGGCCGGCUGUGGGCAGAGCUAGGAAACGGAAG
rnacentral:lncRNA from 1 species